UCACAAUGUGUGAGGGUGAAUCAUGUGAUUCCUGAUGUGCUCUCCUCCUCUACUUGAUCACGACACAGUGAUCGUCAGUCACUGACUGACUCGUCCCCCAGAUGAUGUGGAUUAGUGUGAUCAGUCCUUCCUUUCACUAAAUGUUUCAAAAACUAAAAACAUGAUUAUUGAUUUUAGGAAGUCAUGUUAUAGCUCAUCACCUACUAUCAUUCAAACUGCUGAAAUCGGGAUUGCUGAGAGUUACAAAUAUCUAGGUGUCCUGCUUCAUGCCCUGGAGGACGGGGCUGUGGCCCCCCCACACCCUCUAGCAGAUCAUUACAUGAAGGAACCUUUUAAAAAACAAAAAACAAGCGCGUCCAUGCUCACAGGUGUACACACGGGUGAUCACACCCACAAACUACACCCUUUUUGGCUCCUACCUCAAAGCACACUGUGUUCUGUUGAUCUUAUGUGCUGCACAAUAAUGUUUAACAUUUAGUAUUUACUGUCAUAUUCCCAUAUAUCAUUGUGAUGUUGUUUAUUCUAUUACUCUUGUUCUCUUCUGCUUGUUUUCUUUUUUCUUUCUCAACAGGUGACCCAGGUGAUUGAUAUAUGCAUUUUUUUUUCUUUUUUUCUUCUUUUUUUUCUUUCUCUGCCCGUUCUGUUGGUUUUUGUCUUUUGCCCUUCUCCCCCGUCCCUCUUCUCAGCUGUUUCUCUUUCCCUCUUUCUUUCUCCCCUUCUUUCCCCCAGUCAAGUCUGUCCCGUAUUCAGUAAGUGAAAAUAAAAUAAACAAUAAAAGGUGAAUCAAAUGGACCAUUACGGCAAGGCUGGGAUGGUCAAUUUGGUAAAGUAAAUCCGUUGGGCAUCUUUCUUUGCCUUUAGACAACAAUUCUGAUGCAAAAGAGCCAAACGGGACAGGCAGGAAAAAAAAAAAAAAAAAAAAAAAAAAAAGGAGUGACGGCGGUGUUUUGAGAUGUGAGAGAUUUGUGACGUUUUGCACAAAUCUUGUGUAGUUAGUGUGUAGUUAGUGUGUAGUCAGUGUGUAGUGUAGUCAACAGUUUUGUUGUGUGUGUCAGAACAAUGAGGCGCCUGCUGAGUGUUACAGGUGUUACAGCAGUGAUACGUCUGCUGUUGUCAGGCCUGCAGGUAUCAGGCUGUUGUUCUCCUUCAUCUCAUAGUGGACAGAAAUUAUUUUUUGGAGCGGCACAAAUAAUUUGAUGCAGAACAGCUGAUUGUUCUGUAAAUAGUUUGAAAUAGUUUAAAAUGCCUUGGCUGCAUUUUUAGGUAAACAUGUUUUGAAGGAAGGAAGGUUCAGGGCUGAAGCAAUCAGCAUCAUGGGCUCAUCCGGUUAGAAUAAGAAAAAGCAGCCAUCUAAUUCAGAAUUAUUCUCAGGGUUCUCCUUUUAUUCUCAACUCAAAUCAAUAAGGCAAAGAAGGAAGGAAAGAAAGACACACAUGGACUGCUCUCUCUAAAAAGGACAUAAAGUAUGAUUUAAGUAACUCAAAAUGAUACAUGAACUCAGGAGACUCAAAGAGAAACUCACCUCAGC
ensembl:lncRNA